AUGGCUGUCGUCAGCUCGUGUCGUGAGAUGUUGGGUUAAGUCCCGCAACGAGCGCAACCCCCGUCCUUAGUUGCUACCAUUUAGUUGAGCACGCUAGGGAGACUGCCGGUGAUAAGCCGCGAGGAAGGUGGGGAUGACGUCAAGUCCUCAUGGCCCUUACGGGCUGGGCUACACACGUGCUACAAUGGCGGUGACAAUGGGACGCUAAGGGGCAACCCUUCGCAAAUCUCAAAAAGCCGUCUCAGUUCGGAUUGGGCUCUGCAACUCGAGCCCAUGAAGUUGGAAUCGCUAGUAAUCGUGGAUCAGCAUGCCACGGUGAAUACGUUCCCGGGCCUUGUACACACCGCCCGUCACACCAUGGGAGUUGGUUUUACCUGAAGACGGUGCGCUAACCGCAAGGAGGCAGCCGGCCACGGUAGGGUCAGCGACUGGGGUGAAGUCGUAACAAGGUAGCCGUAGGGGAACCUGCGGCUGGAUCACCUCCUUUCUAAGGAUGGUUCUUCAAGAGCUUGCUCUUAUCGAACCUCUUCAGAAACAUCAGGGGCCAGCAAUUUCAGGAUUGUUGAGCUCCAUUGGCGGGAUUUCGCCGUCUUCGUUUCUCUUUCUUCGCGGACGAACACGCGCCAGGGGCUGCGCUUGUGCUGAUCAUCUGCUGCAGGCAGAUGCUCGCGAGCAGGUUCCCUAUCCUUUUUAAGGAAAAGCGUUAGGGGCUUGUAGCUCAGUUGGUUAGAGCGCGCGCUUGAUAAGCGUGAGGUCGGAAGUUCAAGUCUUCCCAGGCCCACCACGCUUCGCCUUAGGCUACGCGUGGCGCAGCCACGCAAGGCGAAGCGAAGUGUGCCCGGCGAAGCCCGUAAAGCGCGUUUACGCGCGUCUUUGACGCGCUAUGGGGCGAAGACGGGCCGACCUGACCGUUUCAAGAAAAGGGGCCAUAGCUCAGCUGGGAGAGCGCGUGCUUUGCAAGCAUGAGGUCGUCGGUUCGAUCCCGCCUGGCUCCACCACGCUUCGCCCUUCGGGCUACGCGUGGCGCGGCCACGCAACGGCCGAAGGGCGAAGCGUGCCCGGCGUAGCCGAAGGCGAAGACGGGCUGACCGAUGGUCGCUUGACUGGUCGCCAAAAACAUCGUCCGCGAAAACAUCACUUCGCAUGGCGUGUCCUACGGGACGCGCGUGCGGGAUUUCUGACAUCGUAAAGAGGAGAUCGAUCCGGGUUUGGGAUCUGCGAAGCAAUUCGCUGAUACCAAUCACUAUCUCCGGGACGUUUCGGCGCUCGUUCAUCGCAAGAUGAGCGAGUUGUAAAUGUCCUUGUUGGUGAAGCUUGACCGCCUCAUCAUCGGGUUGAUCUUACGAAGCAAGCUGGUCUUUCUAAUCAGUGUCCAGCCGCAUGCAGCAUUCAUCGAGGGUGCGCGCUUUCAGACUUCGGUCUUGAAGCAAGUGUGCGGACUACAUUCUGCCGAGUGUGUGGACAUUGAUAAUGAGAGCAAUCAAGUGCCUUAAGGGUGUUCGGUGGAUGCCUUGGCGCUGAGAGGCGAUGAAGGACGUGCUACGCUGCGAUAAGCCGUGGGGAGCUGCGAAGAAGCUUUGAUCCACGGAUUUCCGAAUGGGGAAACCCGG
rnacentral:sRNA from 1 species